GUCUAUGGCCUACCACCCUCAACAUGCCUGAUCCGGUCUGAUCUCUGAAGCUAAGCAGGGUUGGGCCUGGUUAGUACUUGGAUGAGAGAAAACACCUGAGAGAGGUGGGAGUGUGAGCUCUAUGGACA
rnacentral:rRNA from 1 species